rnacentral:lncRNA from 1 species
CAGACUCCGCCCGAACUCCUACGGGAGCCGGGCUCCGUCCUCAACAUCAGCUGCCGGUAAGCCUUGCCCGGGCUCCUACGAGAGCCGGACUUCGCCUUUAACUUUAAUUGCAGGAAGACUCCGCCCGGGCUCCUACGGGAGCCGGGCUUCAUCCUCGACUCCAACAGCUGCAGACAGACUUCGUCCGGACUCCUACGGGAGUCGGACUCCGCCAACAACUUCAACCGCA